rnacentral:rRNA from 1 species
AGUGAACGCUGGCGGUAGGCCUAACACAUGCAAGUCGAACGGCAGCACAGUAAGAGCUUGCUCUUACGGGUGGCGAGUGGCGGACGGGUGAGGAAUACAUCGGAAUCUACUUUUUCGUGGGGGAUAACGUAGGGAAACUUACGCUAAUACCGCAUACGACCUACGGGUGAAAGCAGGGGAUCUUCGGACCUUGCGCGAUUGAAUGAGCCGAUGUCGGAUUAGCUAGUUGGCGGGGUAAAGGCCCACCAAGGCGACGAUCCGUAGCUGGUCUGAGAGGAUGAUCAGCCACACUGGAACUGAGACACGGUCCAGACUCCUACGAGAGGCAGCAGUGGGGAAUAUUAGACAAUGGGCGCAAGCCUGAUCCAGCCAUACCGCGUGGGUGAAGAAGGCCUUCGGGUUGUAAAGCCCUUUUGUUGGGAAAGAAAAGCAGCAGGUUAAUACCCCGCUGUUCUGACGGUACCCAAAGAACAAGCACCGGCUAACUUCGUG